UGGGGAAUAUUGGGCAAUGGACGCAAGUCUGACCCAGCAACGCCGCGUGAAGGAAGAAGGCUUUCGGGUUGUAAACUUCUUUUAAGGGGGAAGAGCAGAAGACGGUACCCCUUGAAUAAGCCACGGCUAACUACGUGCCAGCAGCCGCGGUAAUACGUAGGUGGCAAGCGUUGUCCGGAUUUACUGGGUGUAAAGGGCGUGCAGCCGGAGAGGCAAGUCAGAUGUGAAAUCCGCGGGCUCAACUCGCGAACUGCAUUUGAAACUGCUUCCCUUGAGUAUCGGAGAGGUAAUCGGAAUUCCUAG
rnacentral:rRNA from 1 species